AUGGCGACCGGCUACGGGUGAGUAACGCGUAUCCAACCUGCCCUUUACUAUGGGACAGCCCGUCGAAAGGCGGAUUAAUACCGUAUGUUGUCAUGUUGAUGCAUAUUUUCAUGACCAAAGGCUUCGGCCGGUAAAGGAUGGGGAUGCGUCUGAUUAGCUUGCCGGCGGGUAACGGCCCACCGGGGCGACGAUCAGUAGGGGUUCUGAGAGGAAGGUCCCCCACAUUGGAACUGAGACACGGUCCAAACUCCUACGGAAGGCAGCAG
rnacentral:rRNA from 1 species